rnacentral:rRNA from 1 species
GGAGUUCUGGAAAGUGUGCUUGGAUAAAU